GAUGAACGCUGGCGGCGUGCCUAAUACAUGCAAGUCGAGCGAAUGGAUUAAGAGCUUGCUCUUAUGAAGUUAGCGGCGGACGGGUGAGUAACACGUGGGUAACCUGCCCAUAAGACUGGGAUAACUCCGGGAAACCGGGGCUAAUACCGGAUAACAUUUUGAACCGCAUGGUUCGAAAUUGAAAGGCGGCUUCGGCUGUCACUUAUGGAUGGACCCGCGUCGCAUUAGCUAGUUGGUGAGGUAACGGCUCACCAAGGCAACGAUGCGUAGCCGACCUGAGAGGGUGAUCGGCCACACUGGGACUGAGACACGGCCCAGACUCCUACGGGAGGCAGCAGUAAGGAAUCUUCCGCAAUGGACGAAAGUCUGACGGAGCAACGCCGCGUGAGUGAUGAAGGCUUUCGGGUCGUAAAACUCUGUUGUUAGGGAAGAACAAGUGCUAGCUGAAUAAGCUGGCACCUUGACGGUGCCUAACCAGAAAGCCACGGCUAACUACGUGCCAGCCGCCGCGGUAA
rnacentral:rRNA from 1 species